UGAGGGUGUUGCUGUAUUGUUUUUUCAUUAAAGUCUCGCUCCCCUCCCAUCAAGGAUCCUUGGCCCGUGCCAUUCCGGCCGACAGUCUUAUCACCUGGGCCCCAGCCUUCUGUCCUGAUGUCUGGCUUCCCCCAUACAACUAAGCUCUCACGGAUCUUCAUCCUCGGAAUCCGGGCCUGGCCUAGAGCAAGGUGCAUAUCAGGACUCUAUGGAUGAAUGGAUGUUUGCUGAGCGAGUGAAGGAGUGACAGUGCUGAUCGGGGAGGUGAGGCUCACAGCCUCCCUGACCUCCAGCUCUGGCUGUCAUUUCCACGCUCCUAGAUGAGUAAGCCACGGCCCAGGGAGCGCGGGCCACUUUGCCAGGGCCCAGUAUUUGGUUAAUUAGUGACGAAAACAGGAUUUAGACUCAGUUCUGUGAGAGCCACAGUCUAUGCCUUUGGACCAGUCUCUUGUAUGUUUGUCAAAAAGUUCGAGUGAAUCUAGAGAAGAACCACGUGGUCUGGAAGGAGCCUAGGGAAGCGGAUGUCUCGUCAUCUGGUGCUGACAGACCCUCUCUCUUCCCUUGCAGGGAAGAGACCAGGAGUCACAGGCAGCAGCGUUUUUACUUCACUGGUAAACAGUGGGGCCCCAGUGUUCUUCUGCCUCUGCCACUCACCCCUCUGUGUCUUCGUCUUCUUCACUCAGUCAGCAAACAUGCCGGCGACAGAAUGAACUAGAUGCUGGGGUUGCACAGAGGAAAAGGUGUGGCUGCCUGUCUUCAAAAGCUCACUGGGCAGCCGGGAGACCCACGUACAAGCCAGCAGUUCUAAGAAAGUGUGACAGAACUUUGCACAAACACCUGGGUCACGGAGGAGAGGGGACUCGUGUCUGGGGGAACUGGUGGGUGGGAGACUGAAGGCUUUGAAGCGGAGGGAGUCCUCGGGCUAUUUAGCAAAGCAUCCUGGAAGGUCCCUUCCAGUGCUAAUGGCAGAGGAUUGUGGUGUCAUAGUGACACAAGAGGAGGCUGGCGGUGGAACCUCCCUGUGCUUCGAGGGGUGCCACACCCAGUGGCCAUCGGAGGGUGAUGAGGCCAGCCCAGGGGGUUCAAGUCCUUAUCACUCCCCAUGUGACCUGGGAAAGGAACCUCCUUUCGACACUCAAGCUUCUCCCAUGGGGAAUGGGAUCUCAGAGGUGGGCCCCUCACUGCCAACGAUGAAACCAAGAACCAGCUCCCAAAACAGGCAGGGACCAGAGGGGACGUCCGCAAUGGGGGUGGCUCAUGAGGACCCAGUUCCUGGCCUGGCCACCCUGAACUCGGGCUGCAGCACACUGACCGCGGGUACCAGCUGUGACUCCAUCAGAGGCUGACUGACUAAGUCUGGCAGAGAAUAAGGGGUAAGAGGCACGGCGGGAAUCAGGCCUUUCACAAGGGAGGCUGAUGGAAGGAAGAGCCCCGCCUCUGGCGGAGGGCCUGGCGCCAACAGACCUGAGGCCGGGGGGAGCAGGACCCCCGCAGACAAGCCAGAGAUGGGGAUCCACGUCCUCCUCGCCUCCCCCAACCCAGAUACACAGGAGGCCUUCCAGGGGGAGCUGGUGUCCUUCAGCGCGACCUUGCACAGGCAUCUGGGCUGGGGCUCGAAGACAUGGUCCGAGACCCUUGGGGGCUGAAGAUGGCUUGGGGCACCCGGCACUCCACGCCAACCUCAGGUGCAAGGUGGCCCCAAAUCUCUGCUGCUGCCCAGCCGCGCUCAGGAGGUGGCAAAGACGAAGCGUUUCCAGAUGUUACUAAAAUGCUCCCCCUCCACAAAGAUGUCAGCUGUCCCAAAGGAAUCGCUUUCGGGAGGACCUGACUCACCUGAUGAAAUCCACCGUGAGCAGGACGAGGACCCCUGAGGUGAGAGGCCCUCUCCCCACACUGGCUUUGGAGAAGGGCGCUGCCUGGCUGUGUGAGGGCCUAAGGGGGCACCUUCAGGAGCUGAGACCAGCCCCUGCCAAGUGCCUGCAAGGACAAGGGAGCCUCUGUCCUCAAGUCACAAAGAAAGAGUUCUGCCGCCAACCUGAACGAGCCAGGAGCAGACUCCUCACCGGUCCAGACCCCACAGCCCGGCUGACACCUUGAAACCCUGAGCAGAGGACCCGGAUACGUCCCUCCAGACCCCCGACUGUCAGAGACUGAGCGGUAAUAAAUAGGCUCUGGUUUAUGCAAUCAUUUGUCACGUGGCACAGAAGACGAAUGCAGCAGUGCAGGCCCAGCCUGGCUAGGCUGGCGCAGCUCAGGCGCCGCCCGGGACCCUUCUGUCCCUGCAACACCGGGAAGCCUCUGGUCCCACAGAGACCUGCAGACCGGCACUCAGACUCUGGAGACGUCCUAAACCCAGCCUGCCCAGCCCUCGCUUGGUCGGCCUCUGCCAUUCUGCUGCUCCACAGUCACCGCAGAGACGGCCCGUGUCAAGUCUGGGCUCUUCCAGGUGGCCUCCAGGCUCGCCACGUCCUCGGAAGUGGGGAAGCAGCACUGGUAUUCCUGCAUCUCCCAGGCCCACCCACAUGCUACCACCACGUCCUUCCUCCACCCCUACAGCUUUCAACCUGGGAGGGUGGCCAGGGUCCUGGGGACGGGCCUCCUCCCUGCUUUGGGUGAGUAAGGAACUGCCCAGUCCACGGGAUCUUCAUGUCCCCUUCAGCAGAGUUAUAAACGUCUCACUUCCACAAAGCAUAGCAGAAUAUCCACUAAACCGCAUAGGAGGUGGGAAGGGACAGACUGGGAGUACAAAAUUUGUAGAUCCUGGCAGGCAAGUGCAGAAUAGAUAAACAAGACUGUACUGUGUAGCACAGGGAAAUAUAUACAAGAUCUCAUGGUGGCUCACA